rnacentral:rRNA from 1 species
ACGAACUGUGCAAACGUUAUUCGGAAUCACUGGGCUUAAAGGGUGCGUAGGCGGACUUGUAGGUCAGGUGUGAAAUCCCACGGCUCAACCGUGGAAUUGCGCUUGAAACCACUCGUCUUGAGGGGAUCAGAGGAGAGCGGAACUGAUGGUGGAGCGGUGAAAUGCGUUGAUAUUAUCAGGAACACCGGUGGCGAAAGCGGCUCUCUGGGAUCCUUCUGACGCUGAGGCACGAAAGCUAGGGGAGCGAACGGG